UGAAAAUUCAAGGUGGACUUGCAUGUUGUGCAUAAAAUUUAGUAGCUUUUAAGCUUGAUUUAUAACACCGAAAUAUCUUGACCUAUCUAUUGCUUCAGGGCCUGCAAAUUUUACGGGAGGGCCUAGGAAGGAGAAAGAGUGAUUCCUAAGUGGGUCCAGGCAGCAUACCUGCAAACGGUGAUGUCAUAAAGUAGUCCUGCUGAGUUGUAGGUAACUACCACAUGAAUUAUAAAGACAACAAAGGAUGUCAGAAUGAACAUGGAUAGGUGUAUGCAUACUACGGCUAAGGAGAAACAAUGUUCCUACAUAUUAUGGGCAGUGAGAACAUUAUCUGUAUAACAGGGAACUGUGAUUAUUUAAAAAUAUGCAGAACUUAUUUCAUCUGUGCUUUAGAAAUAACUGUAUACAGUGUUAUAAGUUGAAAAGAACUCAAAAUAACUAAUACCAAAUAUACACCUAUGUAUUAGAAUUCAAAAAAGCUGCUUUCUGUGAAGUCAAUCAGCUAUAUUAAAAAAUGACACAAAUCCAAAACAAGAUGCAUGUUAUAUAUAAAGGGACAUUGUAAGUUUCCUUGCUGCAUUAAACCCAUGGUUUAAUCCAUGAAAUUUCCUUUUAAUUAUCAUUUAGACAGAAGCAUGCAAAUAGUCUCAGGAUCUACUUAAGAACCUUUCCCAAAUCCACUAGUUACACUCCCCUUUUCAGGAACUAAGCAGGUAUUCGGGUAGCUGCUUCCUCCUCUGCAUCAGCUCGGUUUGCAUUAAUCUCUGCAAGUGUUCGGCCAAACCGUGCCCAUUCAUCAUUGCGGGGAACAGCA
rnacentral:lncRNA from 1 species